UGACCACGUAGCUCAGUUGGCAGAGCAUUGGGCUAGUAUUCCAAAGGUUGUAGGUUCGUUUCAUAUUUUUCAA